GCCACCUCUAUCUUAUCUCACUCUGUCUUCUCUAUUUCACCAUGAACAACAGCAAACAAAUCUUCUUCUCACUCAAACUUCAAUUCUACAACACAAUUUUUUUUUACUCUUUCUCUCUCUAAGCCCAGCAAACAAUGGUGGUUAACGGUGAAUGGCGGUGAUAUGUAAAGUAAGAAGCGGCGGAGAAGUGGUGGUCGUGGGUUGCAGUUUCAGCGGUGGUUGGGGCUCGAGUGGGUGGUUGUCGGAGUUUUACGGUGAGGGGUCCGGAGGAUGUUUGGAGGUGUUGUAGGUUGUAGAGUUCGGAUUAGUCUCACCCGCCUCAUGCGUUAAUCUGCCUAAACCUUCAAUGCCGAUGAAUCAACUAAUUUAAAUCUUCACAUCUAGUGGCUUCACAAUCCAGGAACUGGUGGCGCUAUCCAACGCUCACACAAUCGGACUCAGUCAUUGUACGGAAAUCAGAUCUGAUAUCUACAACUACAGCCAGACGUCACCGAUCGAUCCGUCGUUGAACCUGCGGAGGUGGUGGUUGUACGGUUCUAAAGAAGUUUGGUGCUUCUUUGUGAUGAAUUGACUCUGUUGUUAAAUGAUGUUUUUUUUUUUUGGUAGCUUGAAUGAUCUGUUUGUGUUCCUUAAGAUAAUCAAACAACAGAUUUAAAAACAAUAAAAAAAAAACUGUUUGUGUUUCUUAAGAUAAUUAAACAACAGAUUUAAAAACAAUAAAAAAAGCAAACAGUAGGAUUCGAACUCGGGUAUCUACUCUUAGUGGUGCACAAGAAAGCCAAUUUAUGAAAUGA
rnacentral:lncRNA from 1 species